rnacentral:rRNA from 1 species
UCCUAGUGUAUGCAAAAGUUGCUGCAGUUAAAACGCUCCUAUUCGGUGUUUUAGUAAUGAUUAGUGUGCCGUGUUUUUACAUGUGAUACACUAGUAUUUACUUUUAGACCUGCGAAGCAGGUCAUGUUACCAUGAUUAAAUUGUAGUGCUCAAAGCAGGCUUUACGCCAGAACAACUUAGCAUGGUAUAACAAGUCACGACGUUUAAUAAACGUACACCAUCAAACGUAAUGAACAAUAGGGGCAGGUGGGGGCCUUAGUACGAUGUCGUUAGAGGUGGAAUUCCAAGAUCGACGUCAGACUAACUGAAGCGAAAGCGUUGGCCAAAAACGCUCUCAUUGA